rnacentral:rRNA from 1 species
GGCUCUGGCCAUAUCAGCCUGAAGGCGCCCGAUCUCAUCUGAUCUUGGAAGCUAAGCAGGGUUGGGCCUGCUUAGUAAAAAAAAAAAAAGUGAUGGUAGGGCUGCAUUCU